GAUGAACGCUGGCGUCGUGCCUAAUACAUGCAAGUCGAGCGAACGGACGAGAAGCUUGCUUCUCUGAUGUUAGCGGCGGACGGGUGAGUAACACGUGGAUAACCUACCUAUAAGACUGGGAUAACUUCGGGAAACCGUAGCUAAUACCGGAUAAUAUUUUGAACCGCAUGGUUCAAAAGUGAAAGACGGUCUUGCUGUCACUUAUAGAUGGAUCCGCGCUGCAUUAGCUAGUCGGUAAGGUAACGGCUUACCAAGGCAACGAUGCAUAGCCGACCUGAGAGGGUGAUCGGCCACACUGGAACUGAGACACGGUCCAGACUCCUACGGGAGGCAGCAGUAGGGAAUCUUCCGCAAUGGGCGAAAGCCUGACGGAGCAACGCCGCGUGAGUGAUGAAGGUCUUCGGAUCGUAAAACUCUGUUAUUAGGGAAGAACAUAUGUGUAAGUAACUGUGCACAUCUUGACGGUACCUAAUCAGAAAGCCACGGCUAACUACGUG
rnacentral:rRNA from 1 species